UAAAAUUAUUACUUGCAUCUGAGAUUGUUCGAUCUAGAACUUCAAGAUGAGGACUUAUGUCUUGAUCUUUGUGCUGUGUGUUCUCUCACUAGAAGUUGUCGAUCCUGUCCAGAGUCAAUUUUCAUGCUCGAGAAGCUGCAACGGCCGGGACUGCCGCAGAACUUGUUGGCGCAUGGGACGCCGUAUAGGGGCAUGGAACCUGCUGAAUUUAACGUGAUAUUCCAACCGGAUUUGUCUGAAAUAUAUGGAUAUGGAAAACAAUAUAUAAACAUGUAUAACAGUUGCUACUGUUAGCCUUAAAGCUGCGUUGGACUGAAACCCUAAACAUUAAAGAUGAGGACUUAUGUCUUGAUCCUUGUGCUGUGUGUUCUCUCACUAGAAGUUGUCCAUCCUGUCCAGAGUCAAUUUUCAUGCUCGAUAAGAAGCUGCAGUAGCCUAGAUUGCUCCAGAACUUGUCGACGCUUGAGACGCCGUACGGGGAUUUGUAUUCCCUGUGGUUGGAGAAAAAGAAAAUGCAGAUGCAUCGGAUGAGACCAUAUACUCAACAAAGCAUUGAGUUUAUGUAUUUUCUUCAAAGAAAUAAAUAAAAUCACAUUUUAA